UUGAGGCUUUGCCCCAAAGCCGGCUGUGUGCGUGCCAACUGCCUCUCAAGUCCAGUGCAAGUUCGCAUGUAACCAAGGCUCUUAAGGACCAAGUUCAGCUAAUCUGAGCUCAUCGCACCCAGUGCCACCCCACCGCUCUCAAGAUGCUGAGCCUGCAGCACCGCAGCGCAAGCCCCCCACUCACCCCUUAGCAGGGGCCUUUUAUUCUUUAAUUGGUCUUUUUCAUCUGUUUGAAGCUCAAAGCGUCAGUCUCUGGCCAGAAAUGCUUCAUUUAAAAAAAAAAAACACAACAGUUACUGGAACAGAGCCGAAGCCCCGCAGCACCCACAUACACCUCCUCCUGCGGCUGUCUAGCUGUGAAACGCGGUCCCCGCUUGACAGAGUCGAGGAGAGCUCGCUCGCGGCCAGCGUGAGUUGGCACCGGGCUCCAUCGGCUCAGCCCCUUCUUGCACCAGCCCGGGGUGAUGGGGCUGAAGCUCAUCACGGCAUGUUUGAAUUUUCACCUCUGGUAGCAACAGGUGGAAGGCCAAAACUCAAUUUAUACAAGCUAAAGUUGUGUUUACUUAUGCAAUAGGAGAUGAAGGGGGCAAGAUUAUCGCAAGAUAAUCGCUGCCUUGAUUAAUUAUAAAGUAAAGCCAGCUGCUUCCAAUUCUUGCACAAUAUAGGCUGCUUCCCAAGGAACCAGCCGGAACAGGGAAGUUUCAAUUGCUUUCCUCCUGAACUGUUUAAUUCCAAACUUAAGAAAAUAAUCACACUACAAACAGUCCCACAUGCAUCCCCCAAAAGUACUCACUGCUUAAACUGAACAGAUCGCUGCUUAAACAUGAAAAAAAAAAAACCAGUCAUACAAACACCAUUCAUUCAUCUGCGCUCAAUUAAAGAACACAGGAGCAGCUGAUGAAAACAUUUACAAGACAUUAUUAAAUCUUACAAGGGUGGGGGAAAGCCAAGAGGAAUCCAGACAUUCAAAUCCCUAUUUGCCUCAUUCCUCAGUGCAACCCUCGGGGACUGGCCACGAUGCCGACGGGCAGCGCAUCCCCGGAGCAACCCAGGGGCUGACCAUGUGUCCCCCAUCUCCUCGGGGUCCUGCUGGGCACCGCUGCUGCCCCUUGAGCCUCAGGAAAGAAACGCUCCCAGAGUGGACAAUUUAAGCAGAUUUUUGUGACCGCGAAUUCACCCAGGAGGCUACAUGACACUUGUAUGAAAGGGAACCUGCGCCACAGAGCUGCUGCGACAGGGAUCAGUAGGCCAAGACUCUCUCCAUCGCUCAUCCUCACAAACCAGAGAUUAGCGGAGUCCAACCAGCCCUAUUUCCAUUUAAUACAGACAUUGACAGGGGAUGCAUUUGACUUACGGCAUCACAUUCACAUUAAAUCCUGUCUCUGCACAGGCACUUAAGCUCCCCUGCAAAUAGAGGAGGGACCCAUUUGGAGAAAGGGUGUCUCAGCAUCACACCCAAAGCCUCUUGGCGCUCGGCAAAAGAACAAUCAUGAAGGUGGAGGACGGAACUCCAACACCUGGUUGCAAACGUGGGCACGCCUGGGCAGAUACCGCCUAAACCCAUCAAUCACGCAAGGGUUCCGAUACCCUUUGGAAAGCCAGCUCUAAGGCUCGCACCUGCCAAGACACUAAGAUGCUGAAGUACUUCAAUUAUUUUCAUGGCUGUGGUCUACAACUUCUUUCCCAUCCUGGAGAACAAAGUGCAGCCAAGGUGGUCACCCGGGUCUUGUGGCCGCCGUGCCCCUUACUCCCACACAACACAACACCAGCACUUCACCAGUUAAACCAGUUCACACAGCUGCUUUUUUGCCUCCCCCAUCAUAAAAAUGAAACUUGGAGUUCAGGCAUGAAUGCCCAAACUCAAUGGCAGGCAUUAAUCAGCCUCCAUCCACUCAGAGCUAUCCCACAACAAAGGAAUUAGUUCAAAAAACAGCUAUUUAAACAUCUGAUGUGGCACUUACCCUGGCAUUGAGGCCACCCGAUCCCUGGGUGAUGUAGCUACAGCAAUAAAAGCUCAAGUUUAGGCACAGUGAUAUCAGCGAGAAAUUCCAGGUACUUGGAUGGUCUCAUCCAAGAUACCUCUGUCUGCACGAGAGUUAUUGGGUGAAGUUAUGGAAUAUAUUUGGUCCUUUAGGAAAACACUGAGCUCUUUAAUUACUCAUGUCACAAGCAUAUCUGAAAAAAGCUGGAGGUUUGUGUUAAAUUUUCAGACAGAUUCUCAGGGAACAGGCAACCUAGAAAGUGGCAGUUCAGGACUUAAAUCACCCCCUUACUUGAGGCACUGCACAAGCAUGUGCUUAAACUGAGACUAAAAGAUGCUCAAGCUGCUGGGCUUUAUGGAAGAUGCACACCUAAACAUAAAAAAGGACAAGAAACGGAGCAAGAAAUGCUAUGGGGGAGAGGAGGCAGCCAGCUUUCUCAUUAGGAGAAGACAUACCAGAUUGCAGCUAUAUCUAAAUCCACACGGCAGGAACACAUCUUCAUCCCCACUGAAGCCAAGACCGAUUUUCAGCCCCAUGGAUUAGAAGGGAAAAAAACCUACCCCAAAACACCCAUCUCCCAAAUUAAUCAAUCUCGGGUUAUUUAUCCUGCUUUUGCACCAGUGUAGAAAGAAGGGAUCUAGCUAAAUUGUUUUGAUAUAGCUGGCAUUAAAAGAAAACCCAUUGUAAUGCCGGACAACUCGGUGCUGCGUGCACACAUGCUUUGCCGACCAAAAAGCCUUGCGACGUGCUCAACAACACGCACUCGAAACUCAGCCGCUACAGCUAAAAACCACACACAGCCAGAAAAAGAAAGCACUCCUGUGGCGGAGGAGAGGCUGUCAACGAGGUACCUUUGAGUGGAGCUUCUCAGUUUAUCUCCUCAACUGCACAAAAUCCAUUACAGCCAGAGAUGAAGUCAAAACACUAUUAAACAAAAAAAAAACGCCAACCCCAAAACACAGAAAAAGGCAGCGACUGUAACAGUAUGCAGUCUUGCACCGGUGCUGGGAUGCCCCGUCGGCCAGAGGUUUGCUGAACAGGUUGCUGGCGAGCUGACCCACGGGGCAAUCCCUUCUGCAGCUCCAUCAGGCAGCUGGGGUUUGCACCCCAAAACCCCAAACAGUCCAGAUGGGAGAAAACACCCGGCCAAGAAGAUGGCAGAAGCACAACUCUUUCAACCCAGCAGCUUUUUCUUGGGAUAGCUGUAGAAACACAUCGCCUUUAAAAACUUCAUCCAUCGAGAUGGCACCAACGACAAAAAGCUGAGCAGGAGCGGGGUGGGCAGCCACGCAACGCUAUCACCUAACACCUCCUUCAGGAACAGCUGGGAUAAGAAGAGCUCAUGGAAAGAAAGCCCAGGCUUUGAGAUAGAAUUUAAACAAUUUCACUGAGUAAUGGUUAAAACCAGAAACUUUAAUCUUCACCUGCACCUGGACAUAGAAAUGCAGACGAUGAACAACUGCGUCCUUAAGUGUCGGAGAAGUGGAGCACGACAGGAGCUGCCACUCCUACCUUCCAUCUACGUACGUCCCCGCAAAAGCAGGCUGCCUAAAAUCUGGUUAAUGUUAUUAACAACCCCAAUUCAGCUAGCAUUCAGACAACAGGCAUCAGUCCAUAACUUUCAGCAAAGGCCUUAACCAUGACAUUAAGACAACAUAUAUAAAUAUAUGAUGGGUCUGAACAGAAACACUGGCCAAAACUGGGACAAAGGAAGACGUCAUUCAAAAAUUUGUAUUCUUUGAGUGAAUUGAUCAGCUUCAAGUGGAAAAAAAUGAAGAGAGCGCGAUGUUUUGCUUUGGGAACAUCGACAUGCUUGGCUCUACCCUGCAAGGCCACCACCCCGCUGCCCCACGGUGAGGGACUUCACUUUGGGCACUGGAACCUGGAGGCUGCAACUCCAGCUGCGACAGGAGGGCAGGCAAAAUAUAUUUAAAUUGAAUUAAAACACUAAUGUACCAUCAGUAGCACUGGCAGUGAAUAUAUGGUGAUUUUAUGUUCACGUAUUAUAUUUAUGCGUGCAUGUGUAUAUACCUGAUAUUUUAAAAAUUCAGUAGUAAACCUU